UCUAAUGAUGGGUCCUGUGGGCCAUCUUGGCUAUGGCAUAGGAUUUCAGGUUGUACCCUGUACCAUGGUGCCACGCUCAGGGAGGGACAGGUAUAGGCUAAACUCUGAUUUGUGCUCCCUUCACUUAGGUGCACAUACCUAGAAUUAUGUGUGCAUGAUGGGGUGCUUUUACUAUGUUGUACAAAGGCAGCCAAUUUGUGGGUAAGGUAGGUCACAUCGUUCCCAUUCUGUAGGAAAAGAACUUGACCAAGGUUCAGGAGAUUUAGAGGAUGUGUACAAACUGAUACAGCUAGAAAUGGCACAACAGAAAUUUAAAGCUGUCUUCUGCAUAGCAUUCUUCCACCACUCCAUACAAUCAUUUUGUCUUGCUAAAUUUCAGUUAUGAUGGCUUAUAGGGAACUGCCCAAUGCAGGACAGCAAUAUGGAGACUUAUCAAAUUUUAUAUUUUUCUUUCAGGCUUUAUGAAGAUAAAAAUUUUGAAAUAUUCCUGCUCAAAUUCCAGGAAGAUAAAAACUAUUUUCCCAAAAACCAUUGAGUAAAAAAGAAAUACUGGAAUUUAGUCACUAAGAAUAGCAACUGUUCAUGUUGCUGAGAGAACAUACUCUGAAGACUUUUGCACAAGUGGCUCCCAAUAGGUGACUAAAAGAAUGGCCAAGACUGACUGGCUAGCCCAGGACUAUGAAAAGGGUCAGCUACCAGGUGAGUGAGUCCAGCAGUCAACAGGACAGAAUUUUAACAGGAGGAAGUAAGUCUCCCUUCAUGUUGUAGAAACAGUACUUCUGAACACUGCAACACUAAGAGGGCCUGGGGAAAGGAUCAAUAUUUUCAAAACUAUGUUCAAAUUGAGAAAAAAAAUCAAGAAAAACAGACUUCCUAAAAAAAGUGCAGGAGAGGGAAGUGGGAGAUAGAGGAGAUAGAGUUCCUGUUGUCUCUGAAAAUAACAGCAGCCUGUGAAACCUGAAAGUUUUUGCUUUGUUUUUUCUGCCCUUUGGAGAAGUUUGAGGAGUUAAACCUGUACCACCCUUCUUUCCCUUUAUCCACUGAUGUAAAAAUUAGGAUGCAAAAGAAACAAGCUGCAUUACACAUUUCCAGAGAGUAAUUAUAGGGUCUCAUAUUUGAGCCACUGAUGCAGGACUAAGAGGAGUUCUUGGGGGAUGAGCAGGAGGAAAAUCCAUGACUACAUACAGUUCCUUGUAACCCCUGCCUGAGACUUAGAUCCUUACCAGUCAUAACAUGGAACAGUUCUACCACUCAGGCUGCUUUUGGAGAAAAAGGCUUGAGUAUAGAGCUACAUACAUAGUAUUGUUUGUGCAGAGUGAAGGAGGGUGUGCUUGUGUGUGUGUGUGUGUGUGGGGGGGGGAGAAUUGAAAAGCAAAAUUAAGAAGAGAACCUGACUCAAAAUAUAUCAAGGUGAGGAAAGUUAAUACCCUAAAAGCUAGUAUGAAAAUUCUUCUUGGGAGUCAGGCGUGGUGGUACAUGCCUCUAAUGCCAGCCCCUGGGAGCUAUGGGUUCAAGGCCAGCCUGGGCUACACAGCAAGAUCCUGUCUCAAAAGCCAAAAGAAAAAAUCUGAAAUCAUGUUUUUAUGAAAAAUAAGUAAAUGUGGGAUAAAGAGAGGUAAACAGAGGAAGGUGAAUUAUCAACAGAAAGGGGCAGGUAAAGUCCAGGUACAAAGAGAUGGUAAAACUACUUCCUCUCCAUUGGGAGGAACAGGCUUGGAUAUACAGAAAGAUAAGCCAACAAAGCCAAGGAGACUAGGCGUGAAGAACAAUAGGUCAAGCAACAUAACAGAUGCCUGGAGUAUGCACUCUUCAUUUGUUUUGUUUUGUUUUUUAUACUGUUUACUUCUUUAACUAUUACCUUUUAAUCUCCAAAUCUUUAGUAAAAUCUGCUAUAUGCACAUACAUACACAUUUUUAUGAAUGACUACUGUAGAAACCACAGCAAAUUUCAAGCCUGAAUCAGAACUGUACAGAAGAGAAAAGUUUGCUUAUGAGUGCCAAAAAAUCUAUUAUCUAAAUUAUUUCCAUGGAAGCAGAAAUUGAUACCUCAAAAACUGAAUCUCUCCAGGAGUGGGCCAAAACUGUGAGAGGGUAUUGGACUAGGGUUUAACAUUUUCUACAUCUUUAGGAGCAGCUGAUACCCAGUUUACAAAAGUAUAUAAAAGGUCUCACAAUUGAAGUUCUUUGACAAAGCAAUGUACAUGUAAAAUUGAUCUAUGACUGUGAUAAUAUUUACAUGGUAUUUCUGGAAAAGAUAUCCAAAGAUUGGAUGAAACGGAUUCACUAAAAUUGGAUUCCUGAAUGCCUCUCAGUAAAUACUGAUAUUCAAAGCAAAAUACUGAUUUGAAAGCAAAAUAGAGUUACUCAAGCUAUUGAAAUGUGAAGGAAGCCAAUCACAAACAGAUGAGUUUCUCUAAUCUAGGGGAGCAUAGUAAGAAAGUCCCCUCUGCUUAACCUGAAGUAACCUUUAACCAGUCAGCCUUUUCUCUAUGGUUCACACCCCAUGGUUUUGCUAAUGCCCAGUGGCAGCUCUCCUUUUAUUAUGUAGAGCAGAGGCUGCCCCAAUUCAUGAAUCCCAAAUAAAAGCCAAUUAGAUCUACAAUUAAAUUUGUUAGAAUUGUGUCUUUUGACAGAAUCUGUCUUAGUUACUUUUCUCUCAUUGCUGAGACAAAAGACCUGACACUCAGAGUUAAAGGAGGAAAUUUUAUUUAGCUCAGUUUGUAGAGAGUUCAGUCCAUAAUUAACUGGCUUUAAGGCAGGUUGGCACAUGGCAGAGGGCAACCAUUCAUGGUGGCAGAACACAGUGAAACCAACAAUAGAGGGAAGGGAUGAGCCUCUUUCUGUCCCUUAUGUUGUUUGCACUUACCCUAGAGUAAUUGUAGCACUCACAUUCUUAAUUCCAGCAUUGAACCCCAAUCAUUCACAAACUCUAGAUUCAGCCACCUCUGAAAAGCUACCUCUCAUGACUGGAUAAGGCUUAGGGGGGACAUUUAAGUAACAUACUGUGAUGAUAUAAAAGUAGGAUCUACUUAUUUGGGCCACUGCCAAAGAAGCAUCAUGGCGAAAAGCAGACUCCACUGGUGACAGCCAGUGGAGAAGGUAUCACAGUCACAUGUAUGAGAUACUGCAGGGCUGUCUAAACAGAAGUUAAAACAAAACAAAAUCACUUAGCUUCAGAGAAACCACUUGAAAUAACAAAGAUAGACCAACAUAAAUAAGGACCAGUUUAUCUAGUACAUGUAAGAGCUAUAAAUGACGCCUCUGGUAAAUGUGAGUGCUGGGGAGAUCUGCAUGUACCUCUUGGAGAGGCCAUCAGGCUGCAGUCUCUACUACUGUCAGUUUGUUAGGUUAGGGGCACAAGAACAAUAAACUCUUCAAAGGUCAAACAAGGAGAAACAUUUGUAAAUCAGAAAUGAGUGCGAGAAGGGCCCAAAUUUAUGCUUGCUUUUCAUAAAGAAAUUCAUAAUCAAUUCCUCUACAUCCAGAAAAAAAAACCCUGGUGAUAUUUUUAUUAUGAUUACAUUUUAUAGAUUAACUGAAGAAAUUACUAUAAAUUUUAUAGUGUUUGUUUACAUUUAAUUUUGUCUUUCAAGUGUGUUUUAUAGUUUUCCUCAUGGAUUUUGUAUAUUCACUGUUAAGUUACACCUAUUUAUUUUUGCUACCAAAAUUUUGUCUCUUCUUUUAAAACAUUAGUUUUGAACACAGAAGGUAGAGGGCUCCCUACCCUCAUGCCAUGGUUCAGUGAGUCCUGGUAAGUCUGGUGGAUCCUAUUCCAGAUCUGUAUUUGUGCAUUUACAUACAUACGAUAUGUAAACAAAUGAGAUUUUACUGUUCUUUGUUAUUUCUGCAAUUCAUAUAUAUGUAGUGACUUUCCACUUUGAUAGGAUGUCUUGGAGAUUUUAACAUACUGGCAUUUGGAAAUCUAUUUCUUUCUGGGAGCCGCAGAAGUAUGUAUUGCAGAUGCAGUACAGUUUCUUAAAAGACACUCCCCAGAUGGAGUGCAUGAAGGCAAUUUUGCUAUUUAAAAAUGUGCCAGUCACCAAAGAUUAGAUAUUGUCUGAUAUUACAUGGCACACUGGAAAAACCAGAUAAGGGCACAGAACAGAUCAAAGGUUAGGGUGCGUCUGCAAGUUCAUUAUAGAGGUCAGUGCUAUUCUAGGAUUCCUUAAUGUGUUGAGAUGCUUCUGCUUCCCUAUCAGUAGUGGUGACUACGAGUCUUACAACUCAAAGACAACAUUGUUUAGAUAAAGGAUGCAUUUUUUUAUGGUACUGGGGAUCAAACUUACCAACUUGCACAUGCCAGGCAGGUGCUUGUGCCACUCAACUAAAUUCCUGGCCCCUAAAAGGGAGCAUUCUUGAAGAUGGGAAGGUUAAAUGCUGCCCAAUAUUAACAUGCUCCAUACUUUUUCCUGGUACUUUUAUGUAUUAUAUGUGAGUCUCUAUUUUUAACUUUUGUGAUUUUUAAAAGUCCAAACUAAUCACUUCUUUUUUAUGAGUAAACAAUCAAAUACAUUAUUUGCUUAUUCAUAUAUGGGUACUUGGACUUACUUUUAAAUUUAAAAUUUUUAUUUAUACUAAUUUUCUCCUUUUUGUCUUCGGUUGCCUUGGUAACUUUUUCCACAUCUCUUAUCUCUCACCACUCUUCUUGCCCUCUUUAGUGAGGAAGUAUAGAUUGUAGGGCUGGGGAUUUAGCUCAGUGGCGUAAGCACCUGCAAGCAGGCAGUAGUUGAGUUCGAUCCCCGGUACCGAUAAAAACUUAAAAACUAAAAAAAAAGUAUAGAUUGUAUUUCUAUUCUUCAAGAGGUUGCCUGUCAUUUUCCUUUCCAGAGUGUUAAUCCAUGGAACAAUGCCAUUUUGUGGUCCCCAGUUUCUUUUAGCUUUCUUUUGAAAUACAAUUUUUUUUACAAUCUGUAGUUGAUUGCGAUUAGUUAUAUAUUAAAGCAGGUGUCCACUAAUUCUCUUGAAUUCUAUGCUUCCUCUGUGUUUAUUUUCUCUUUGAAGUGUUUUUAUCUUUUCAUUAUUCUUAAUAAGGGUCUCUGAGGAUGGGAAACUCAUAUGCUUUGGAGAUCUGAAAAUGUCUAUUACUUUCAUUCUUGAAAAAAAGUUUGGUAAGUUAUAAAGUUCUGUGUUGAAAGUAAUCUCCCCUCAGCGUUUUCUCUUCGCUUAUAAUUUUGCUGGUGAGAGACUUGCUAUCAAUUUGAUUUUGUUUUAUAGGAGGCAGUCUUUCUCUAUGGUUGCUUUUCAAAUUUUACCAGUAAUUUAUCUACAGUUUCACUUUAAUUUUAAGAAUAUAUGGAUUCAUCUUAUUCCAUACCUAAAGCCAAGGAUCAGGUUUUCUUCAAUUUUGGAAAAUUAGCAAGUACUUCUUCAAAGUUUGCUUCAAAAAUUGCUCCAUCCAUUCGUACACAACUCCUAUUAGACCUAAGUAAAUACAGUCUGUCUUCCUGUAGACACACUGUGUGUGUUCUUAUGUUUGUGCUGAGCUCUGGGUGGGUAAAGUCAGAAUCCUGUCUAAUUCAUUACUUCUUUUUGUAAUUAAAUACAAUAUAGCUGUUCUAUCAGUUCAUAUUUUAACAUUAGUUAUUCAUUUAUUUUUUGUGCUAGGGCUGAAUCCAGCACCACAUGGAUGUACCAUAGAACUACAUCCCCAUCCCCCACUGAACCUUUGAUUUCCAAUACCUAAAUUUUUUUGUAUUCACCUGCUCUUCAGUCAUAUCUACUUACCUUUUAAUAUCAUGACUUUAUCAUUCUGACUACUCUAGAUACAUUUAUUUUCCAUUUAUUGUCAGCUAUUCUGAAACUUGGUUCACCUUGAGUGAAUCCAGUAUUCCAAGUUCUAAAUUCAAUGAUUACCUUUCUUAGCAGUUUUCUUCAUGAGUGGCAGACACAUUCUGAGUGGGGCGUUAUUUUCCAGUCUCUCUUGUGUGUGAUUUUAUGGUUUCCUGCACUUAGCUGCAGCUCUCAGCGAAUCACUGGGUUUUAUGGUGGGGAGACGGGGGCAGGCUCAGUGACCUCCUGGGUGGGAAGCACCCCAGAUGGUCAGGUCCAGUGCCCAGUUAAUCAGUAUUCUUCUCAGUUUCCUUUUGGGAGCGUGAGCACUGGCUUCAAAGAGUGACCAAGCUGCGGCCUCUUAUCUUGCUUGAUGCAUUUAUAGUUCUCUUUACUGGCAGGAGCUGAGCUUCUGGCUGUUACCACUUAGUUUUGGAUGACAGCCCAGCAAUUGAUUCAGCUGCAUUUGCAUUCCACAAAAUGCUUAUCUGGUGUUCGGGUCUAUGUAUGUGUUUUUGUUAUCUCUUUUUAUAUUUUAUCUAUUAUGGCUAUAUGUGAACAGAAGAGUGUUUUGAAGUAUAAUAUUUUACCAGCUUUUCUAUAACGGCACGUGUAUUUCAAUAUAAAUUUUGUCAGGACAAAUUAAAGUUAUGCCAAAUCAGCAAAAUUAAAAAUAUGCUUGGAUAGUGCCAAACAAGGAAAACUUUAAAAAGUAAUGCAUGAUGGGCAUCUGGGAGGUCACUGCCUCAGAAUGGGAAAAUACCCUGAUACUCCAAACCAGCCAGUAUUUAUUGGGUGUGUACAAUGCAAUGGGUAUAUUCAAUGAUAGGAGGGGCUGGUGGCAGAUUCCAGAUUGGGGUGGCUGAAGAUUCAGACGUUGAUAACACUGCGGGCAACAGAUAAUGCUGGGAAGUCCCAAGAUGGAAAGAUGAUCUUAUGCUAAGAAGAAUCUUGCUCUGGAGUGUUCUUUUUCAUCUUUAUAGUCUUAUUUUAGUCUUAGUGGGUGGGAGAGGAUGGCCCAUCCCAAGAGUUAAUUGGAAGUCUCAAAAGAAUGAUACCAUAAUCCCAAACCUCCAUUUAUCCUUUAGAGAAGUAUACAAAAUUAGCCAUUGUGAAUUUGUGGCCCCAAUAUAUCCCCCUUUUUCGUUUCUGUAAUAGCAGCAGUUAGGAUUUCUUACAGAUAUUAUUGUAAUUUAUUCUUGAUUGUCCAGAAUGGUGAUCAAUUACUGGGUUAGCUGGAAACUGCCAAAAUAGGUUAUGAUUGGAACUCCUUCCUAUGUCUAACUUAUUAUGACAUUAUUUUAUGUCUUUUGAUGUUCAAGACCAAGUUAAAUUCAGACCAAAAUAAGUUGAGACCUGUACUAAUAAAAUUAACCUCUUGCUGUCUAUCAAGAUCAGUUACAUCCCCUCAGGAUUUGCCUUGGAACCAUGUAUACAGCCUCUCAGUUCUUGACAGUGUCAGCUGUCAGGAUGACUUCCGACCACUGUUGACUGUAAGUUGCUUUCUGUGAAAGCCUGGGAGAUUUUUCUUCUUUGGGUGAUUCUCCUUAGGUACACCUCCUUAGGUAGGAUAUUGUAGAUCACUUUCCUUUGAGGUCCCACAAUCUCCAUGAUCAGAAGACCAGGGACUCAGAGUUAUGGGACUGAAAAAGAAAACUUACACUGCCAUGUUAUUUGCUCCCCUAAAAGGCUAAAUUUCUUUACAUAUUUUCCACCAACAGUACAUGAAUACUUAGUUUCCCACAUCCACAGUAAUAAAGUCCAUGGCUGUUUUUCUAUGAACUACUGCCCUUAUAUUCUUCAUUUUGAAUUUUAAAAUCACAGUCAUGCCCAUAUCAACACAGCAAAGGGAGUGAAGGAGAAAACUUGCCUGGUGUGAUAAAAUUGGUGGUACCGUUUAUUCUAGCAGAUUAUCUUAGGAUCCAAAGUAUUCUUUGACAGUGUCUUAUUAAAAAGACAAUGCUUUAUUUAGUUAGGGUAUAAUUUUGAACUAAAUGGAUAAAGUGGAGCCACAAAAAGACAGAGCAAGAUAAAGGCAAUUUCCAACUCCCUUCACCAUUUCUUCACCCGACAGCUUUCACUACAGCUGCUACCGAAGAGUUUACCCGAAGUUGAUCGUCCAGUCUUGCCUCCAAUCUGACAGACAAACCAAGUGAUUAUUACCUCUCCAGACCUUAGAAUGAAGUAACAAGAAACACAUCCAAGGACCUAUUCCUGAGAUUUCUUCAGAGAACAAGCUAUUCUCUGCCAAAUAAAACUUACUGAGUAUCUACUAGGCAUAUAUGCUAGGUAUCACAAGAGCCAAGAGAUAUAACCAGUGUUUGUUGUUCAGUCUUGUUGGAGACAUGAAAAGUCAAACAAGGCACAAAGAAUGCAGUGUGUCCACCAUAUGCAAGCAUGAUAAGAGCUCCAGUUUAGAGUAAUCAGGGAAGGUUCCAUUCAGGUCUUUAAACUCUAGAGGACAAGAAGGUUAUGAUCUUGCAGGUUUCAGAGACAGGAGCAAAAGAUUGCACUUGGUGAGAGGAAAGAAAAAGCUUGAGAAGAUGGAUUGUUAUUCUUUCCUUUGUAGAUCCCCAUCUCCAGGUUAACAGGUCAGAAAUAGAAGGGGAGGGAAAUAACGGUCAUGUCAUCACACUAUUGGUUAACGCACAAAGUGAAGUACCAUCUCCCAGAAAGAAGAUGCUAGAGGACAAGUAGGCACCCAUACUUAAAAGAUAUAUUUAUUCUUAUCAGUGGUAGAAUUUACUCUAAAAAUGGAGAUUUCUGUCUCAAGAUUACUGAAAAUAAAAAACAAAACACAAAAACACUCUGAUGCCAAAGAAAAAAAGGAACAAAAAAGGCAGGGUAGCUGGCUCUAUAGGAGUGAAUAUCCAAAUGCUUUUGAGUUUAGGAAAUGUCUUAUUCACAAGCUUAGCUAUUCUCCAAGUAUAAUGCUGUGUAUUUAGAGGCAAUCACCACUAGAGCACAAAAAUAGACAUUCGUGAGAACCACACAUGCUGCAUCACUGUCACCAGAACAAACAAGGUCCUUGUCUCCAGGGACCAGGGAAAAGCAAAUCUCUAAGUGCACGGCAUCAUUUCCUGCUUGCUGUACACACGCUAUCUUCUUUCUUCCUCUUUUCUCCCUUUAAAAAAUUACUUCUAUUAGUACACACUGUAUUUGUCAUAUAUUAUGAUCUAGGGAAUUUGCACCUAAACGUAAUUAUGUCUUCUUUUUUUUUCCCUUUCCCCUUUCCUCCUUUUAACUCUUUUUCUCCAUUUACAAAAGCUUUGUUUCCAUUUCCCUCCUCGAUUCCUUCCCUCCUCUUCUCUUAUUCUCCUUCCAGUUUGAGUAUGUUCUUCCUACUUCCCAAUAUGUAUCAUCUUUUAUGUACUAUAUUUACCUUUUGGGUUUCUCACAUAUGAGAAACAAUACAAUAUUUAAACUAGUAUGUCUGAUUUAUUUCACGUAACAUUAUCAUCUCAAGGUGCAUCCAUUUACCUAAAAACAAGUUAAUUCUUUAUUGUGGAGUAGUACUCCACUGUAUAUAAUCACCAUAUUUUCUUUAUCCAUUCAUAUGUUAAUGGGCAUAUAGACUGUUUCCAACAUUUAGGUAUAAUAAAUAAGGCUGUUAUAAACAUAUAUAUGCACAUAUCAUUGUGAUACGAUGCUUUUAACUUUUUCAGGAAUAUGCCUAGAAAGGUACCACUGGAUCAAAUGGAACCACUGGAGGAAUCCCCACUCUACAGUGCUUGCACCAGUCUGCACUCCCACCAACAAUGGAGAAGAUGUAACAGGCGUUUGAAAUAGUGUCUAUUUCACUGCAUUUUCCACUGUACCUACAGACAACGAGGAAGGCUGCUGUUGAAAAUUAUUUUCACUGGGAGGAGAGGUCACCAUGAGGUGGGCAGGCAUCUUCUGCCAUGCAGUCCUCAACUAUGUGCUGCCUCGCUCCAGGACCAAAGGCAACGGGCCAGCUGAGCAAGGACUGAAACCUCCCCAACCAUGAAGCAAAGUAAACCUUUCUUUUUUUUGAAGUUGACUUACCUCAGGAAUUGUUACAGUGAUGACUAGUACAAGACUCUUAUCUCCAUCUAAAUGAUAGACACUGAAUAAGCAACAUGCACCCGAGGCUGCGUAAAAAGGGGAAAAAGAGGCCCCUUCUUUUCUUGGUAUGCAUUUUCCUUUCAUGGCACAUCCUCACUGCCUUUACUGUGACCCAGGAUUUGGGGUUAAUUGUCCUCUUCUGUGAGAAAUAUUUUCUCCUUAUGUUAUGGAAGGAAUAAAAGGGGCUAAUGAGUGUCAAAAUGAAAACUUUCUUCCUUCUGCUUUUUUUAGGUCUAAUAAUCCAGCUCUUCAUAUCUGUCUUCUUACUUAAUCCUAAUUAAAAAUGAAAGGGAAAGGCUACGCAUGCUGAUCCAUCUGCUAAAUCUUGUUGCAUAGAUUUUCAUUCUCAAUACCAAAUUAAUAACUGUACAAUAAAUAUCCCAUACAGAACCCAACUCUCUCUGUUAUUUAUUUAUUGGUCUUUUUCAGACAAGGUUUUACUAUGCAGUUUAGGCUGGCCUUAAACUCACUUCAUGGCCCAGGUUAACCUUGAACUUGCAGCAAUCCUCUUGCCUCAGCCUCCCAUGUGUUGGGUUACAGGGAUGCACCAUCAUGCCCCGAUGUCAACUGUCUCUUUCAAACUCAUUAGUGGUUAUAACUUUGGAAAAUGUUAUUAAUUUUGUAUUGCUACUUUAGGUCUUUUUUUAAAAAAUUCAUUUUUUUUUUGGUUCUUUAAGAAUGUUUAAAAAUUCAGUACCCAGGAGACACAUUCACCUAUGACCCAUCUACUUGGCAUCUGUGCAAUGUCUGAUGCUAUUUCCUCAUUUUAAUAAACAGAGCUCCUUUCUGUUACCACCACUAGGCUGCAGGCUUCUUCAGAGUAGAGCGUUUAUGUCAUGCAUAUGUGUGCCCUUAAGACAUAUGUUGCAGACAAACCACACAAGCUAAAUAAAUUACUUCACCUAGUCCUAGUAUGAUUAAAAUUUCAGACCAGCUCACAUUUUGUUUUUCCUGACACCUUAUGGCUUCGUUUCUCUAUGAAUCUUGACAACCUUAUUGCCCCAGCUGUGUUCCAGUCAGAUGCUUCGGUGAUAACUACGGACAGGUACUAAUCCAUCAUCACUUGCAAGUACUACUUCAGGAGCUCUUGUCUUAUUCUAUUUUUGCAUCCCCAUCACUCUCCACUGAGCCUAGAAAACAACAGGACCCGAACAACUGCUUGCUGAAUAAAUCAAUAUAGGUUCAUAGGUGAAUGUAGGUGAUGGUUCAUGGAGCAGCGAUCAUUCAACUCAGAUUUGGGGUGACCCUAAUUAGCUGCAGUGACAGUGAUAAUUAGCAACUGUGCUAAAGUUGAAUGUUUUUGAUAGAUUUGAUUAUUUUCUCUCUCAUAUGUUUCUUUAUACCUUGGAG